rnacentral:lncRNA from 1 species
UUAUUAGUGUUUCUCUCUUGUCCUUUUCCUUUAGGAAGCAGUGAAAUAUAAUGGUUAAGACACAGGCUCUAGGGAUUCCUUUGUAGCUCAGUGUUAUCACUGCUAUGGCUCUGGUUACAGCUGUAGCAUGGGUUUGAUCCCUGGCCCAGGAACUUGUGAAGGCUGUGAGCGGGACCAAAAAAAGAAAAAAAGACACAGGUUUUGUAAUAGACUGACUUGGGUCCAAAUUCGACUCCAUGACUGGCUGGGGCAUAUGACUUCUCUGAACCUCUGUGUCUUCACCUGAGAGAAUGGGAUAUUAAGAACUAUUUCACCUGGUUGCUGUGAGCGUUAAAUGAGACACCAUAUGAUACUGGGCACACAUCAGGGCUCAGUGAAUGAAGGGUAGCUAAUACAGUUUGCAGAGUCACUGAGUAGAAGUCUAGCUGCACAGAGCUUCUGUGUCUAGAUUUCAACGAUAUUCUUUCAUCAUUUCUUGGAACUCCCAGCACCCCAUGUGGCUUAUACACCACAGGCUCUGAUGUGUUUAACUUGAAAAAGAAGCAGUGUUCCCCUCUGAAGCGUGGUUCCCCAGUGCUGUUUGGCUACACCGGGAGGAGGAGGUUGGUAAGUAGUCAUGGCAGUUUAUCUUCUAGGGCAGGAAGGCUCAGGUUUUCUUGGAGAUUUCCAUUCUUCUAUCUCAUUUUCUGAGUCAGAACAACAAGUAUUUAGAGGACGUUUCCCAUCUUUUCCUCCUGAUUUCUUCUCCUCUAUCCCUUUUCAUUUUCAUCCUCCCUAGAGUGUGUUGGAGAAUCAAGAAUGUGGGUGCAGAAGAGGAGGAGCCAGAGACAUCUCUUACUUUCCCCCAGCUUGUGCAAAGAUGCUUCUGAACACCCUUGGACUAGGUGGAUCUUAAAUUACAAGGAACAAACAGCCAGAGUCUGGACUCUACAUCCUCAUCCCCGUCACCUGGGACCCAACAUCUUCAUCACCUGGGACCCAGUGGCCAGACCUAGCAGCCUGCUGUUUGCAACUCAGGUUAGCCCCUGCAAAGGUUCCUCCCUAGACGGUGGUGGAUGAGCGUGAGGGAAGCAGAACUCACCAAGAAACUUUCAAACACGACAAUCCUCACGGCAAGAAGGAAGACUUAUCCAGUGACAUGGAAGAGCCUGAGCGUCAUCAAUGAACUAAUGAACUGUGAGUCUCCGCCAGCCAGGAGAUCCCAAGUCCCUUAGGGAGGAGACUCCUUGGUGAGGUAGGAUGACCUCGUCCUUUUCUCACAGUGAGUAGGUCAGUAAGUAUUACCAUCUAACUUAAGGCCUUCUUGCUUCAAUAAGUCUAGGUCCCCUUGUUCUGUCUUCAAGUGAAAAAAAAUACCAUCCCUCUCUUGGUCUAUUUCUCUGACAUCCGUUGAAGGUAAAACAGACAAGAAAUCCGCCUACAGGAAGUUUGCAAUUAAGUUCCAAGUGAUUUUAAUUUUUUUAGUUCCCAGCCUUGGGGUCCAGUCGGAACAACAGCUGCUGGCCUAUACCACAGCCACAGCAAUGCCAGAUCCCUAACCCAUUGAUCGGGGCCAGGGAUCGAACCUGCAUCCUCAUGGAUACUAGUUAAGUUCACUACUGCUGAACCACAACAGGAACUCCUGCAACGUGAUUCUUAAUGCAUCCAUCCCUCCUGCAGCUUAAGCCCCUCCAUCACCCAGGGACUUCCAAUACACCUGUCCUAAAGUGGUAUGUGACCAGGGUGCAAAGCAGAAGGGCCCUUCUUUUGCUCUUCCAAUAUUAUCUCAUUGUACCUGUACCCACAAGUUCUUGUCUCCUAGAAUAAAAGAGUUCUUUUGUCCCCUCCA